rnacentral:rRNA from 1 species
GACGAACGCUGGCGGCGUGCUUAACACAUGCCAGUCGAACGGAAAGGCCCUGCUUUUGUGGGGUGCUCGAGUGGCGAACGGGUGUGUAACACGUGAGUAACCUGCCCUGGACUUUGGGAUAACUUCAGGAAACUGGGGCUAAUGCCGGCUAGGAGCUCCUGCUGCAUGGUGGGGGUUGGAAAGUUUCGGCGGUUGGGGAUGGACUCGCGGGUUAUCAGCUUGUUGGGGGGGUAGUGGCUUACCAAGGCUUUGACGGGUAGCCGGCCUGAGAGGGUGAACGGCCACAUUGGGACUGAGAUAGGGACCAGUCGGCUACGGGAGGCAGCAGUGGGGAAUAUUACACAAUGGGCGGAAGCCUGAUGAAGCAGCGCCGCGUGCGGGAUGACGGCCUUCGGGUUGUAAACCGCAUUCGCCUGUGACGAAGCGUGAGUGACGGUAAUGGGUAAAGAAGCACCGGCUAACUACGUG